ACCAAGGACUAGUGUGCCUCUGGGUGUGUCUCCUCUGCUUCUGCUCCUCAAAUCAGAGCUGUUGUAUUAAACUAUUUCAAGUAACAAGAGGAUGACUCUAUGGUCUAGGUCUCAUGGCCUUUAACAGGCUUCCAGAAAGAGCAUUAGAGAUGCUGUGAAACUCGACUUCGAGUCUCUGCAAAACAUUUGCACGUGGUCUUGCUGUAACAAGAGUCCAGGGAGACUCUCAGCAAGGCACCAUGUUCUAUGACGUGACUCUGUGGCUGCUGGUGGGGAUUCGCAUCUCUGCAAUUGCCGGAGGGGGCGCUGGAGGAGGAGGUUAUGCACAGAUGAAAUACAUGCAGCCGGUGGUGAAAGGGCCCCUCGGUCCUCCGUUUCGAGAAGGCA